AAUCAAGCGUUUAAGGGCGUGUGGCGGAUGCCUUGGCACUAAAAGACGAUGAAGGACGUGGUAUACUGCGAUAAGUUUCGGGGAGCUGUAUGCAAGUUUUGAUCCGAAAAUAUCCGAAUGGGGAAACCCUACACUUU
rnacentral:rRNA from 1 species